rnacentral:rRNA from 1 species
GACGAACGCUGGCGGCGUGCCUAAUACAUGCAAGUAGAACGCUGAAGAGAGGAGCUUGCUCUUCUUGGAUGAGUUGCGAACGGGUGAGUAACGCGUAGGUAACCUGCCUUGUAGCGGGGGAUAACUAUUGGAAACGAUAGCUAAUACCGCAUAACAAUGGAUGACACAUGUCAUUUAUUUGAAAGGGGCAAUUGCUCCACUACAAGAUGGACCUGCGUUGUAUUAGCUAGUAGGUGAGGUAACGGCUCACCUAGGCGACGAUACAUAGCCGACCUGAGAGGGUGAUCGGCCACACUGGGACUGAGACACGGCCCAGACUCCUACGGGAGGCAGCAGUAGGGAAUCUUCGGCAAUGGGGGCAACCCUGACCGAGCAACGCCGCGUGAGGGAAGAAGGUUUUCGGAUCGUAAAGCUCUGUUGUAAGUCAAGAACGAGUGUGAGAGUGGAAAGUUCACACUGUGACGGUAGCUUACCAGAAAGGGACGGCUAACUACGUG